GCUUGCUUUCUUUGCUGGCGACCGGCGCACGGGUGAGUAACACGUAUCCAACCUGCCCUUUACUCGGGGAUAGCCUUUCGAAAGAAAGAUUAAUACCCGAUAGCAUAAUGAUUCCGCAUGGUUUCAUUAUUAAAGGAUUCCGGUAAAGGAUGGGGAUGCGUUCCAUUAGGUUGUUGGUGAGGUAACGGCUCACCAAGCCUUCGAUGGAUAGGGGUUCUGAGAGGAAGGUCCCCCACAUUGGAACUGAGACACGGUCCAAACUCCUACGGGAGGCAGCAGUGAGGAAUAUUGGUCAAUGGGCGCUAGCCUGAACCAGCCAAGUAGCGUGAAGGAUGAAGGCUCUAUGGGUCGUAAACUUCUUUUAUAUAAGAAUAAAGUGCAGUAUGUAUACUGUUUUGUAUGUAUUAUAUGAAUAAGGAUCGGCUAACUCCGCGCCAGCAGCCGCGGUAAUACGGAGGAUCCGAGCGUUAUCCGGAUUUAUUGGGUUUAAAGGGAGCGUAGGUGGACUGGUAAGUCAGUUGUGAAAGUUUGCGGCUCAACCGUAAAAUUGCAGUUGAUACUGUCAGUCUUGAGUACAGUAGAGGUGGGCGGAAUUCGUGGUGUAGUGGUGAAAUGCUUAGAUAUCACGAAGAACUCCGAUUGCGAAGGCAGCUCACUGGACUGCAACUGACACUGAUGCUCGAAAGUGUGGGUAUCAAACAGGAUUAGAUACCCUGGUAGUCCACACAGUAAACGAUGAAUACUCGCUGUUUGCGAUAUACAGUAAGCGGCCAAGCGAAAGCAUUAAGUAUUCCACCUGGGGAGUACGCCGGCAACGGUGAAACUCAAAGGAAUUGACGGGGGCCCGCACAAGCGGAGGAACAUGUGGUUUAAUUCGAUGAUACGCGAGGAACCUUACCCGGGCUUAAAUUGCAGUGGAAUGAUGUGGAAACAUGUCAGUGAGCAAUCACCGCUGUGAAGGUGCUGCAUGGUUGUCGUCAGCUCGUGCCGUGAGGUGUCGGCUUAAGUGCCAUAACGAGCGCAACCCUUAUCUUUAGUUACUAACAGGUCAUGCUGAGGACUCUAGAGAGACUGCCGUCGUAAGAUGUGAGGAAGGUGGGGAUGACGUCAAAUCAGCACGGCCCUUACGUCCGGGGCUACACACGUGUUACAAUGGGGGGUACAGAAGGCAGCUAGCGGGUGACCGUAUGCUAAUCCCAAAAGCCUCUCUCAGUUCGGAUCGAAGUCUGCAACCCGACUUCGUGAAGCUGGAUUCGCUAGUAAUCGCGCAUCAGCCACGGCGCGGUGAAUACGUUCCCGGGCCUUGUACACACCGCCCGUCAAGCCAUGGGAGCCGGGGGUACCUGAAGUACGUAACCGCAAGGAUCGUCCUAGGGUAAAACUGGUGA
rnacentral:rRNA from 1 species